CCAUUCGAUACUGUUAGACUGGAGGGCAGCAGAGGGAGAUGGAAUUCCCGGUGUAGUGGUGAAAUGCGUAGAUAUCGGGAGGAACACCAGUGGCGAAAGCGGUCUCCUGGGCUGUUCCUGACACUGAGGCCCAAAAGCGUGGGGAGCAAACAGGAUUGGAUACCCUGGUAGUCCACGCCUUAAACGAUGGAUACUAGGUAUGGGGGGUAUCGACCCCCUCCGUGCCACAGUUAACACCUUAAGUAUCCCGCCUGGGGAGUACGGUCGCAAGACUAAAACUCAAAGGAAUUGACGGGGGCCCGCACAAGCAGCGGAGCGUGUGGUUUAAUUCGAUGCAACACGAAGAACCUCACCAAGGCUUGACAUACAAGAAGUAGUGAACCGAAAGGGGAACGACCUGUUAAGUCAGGAGCUUGAACAGGUGCUGCAUGGUUGUCGUCAGCUCGUGCCGUGAGGUGUUGGGUUAAGUCCCGCAACGAGCGCAACCCUCGUUGCCAGUUGUUUUCUCUGGCGAGACUGCCCCGCAAGACGGGGAGGAAGGUGGGGAUGACUUCAAAUCACCACGGCCCUUAUGCCUUGG
rnacentral:rRNA from 1 species